GGAUGUGUUGGGGGAGGCAUGGAUGUCCAUCGAGUGAAGAGGUCUGAGCCUCCUGUGGCUGACCAGGUGGAGCUACAGCGCCAGUGACGCUCGGCUGCCUCUCUGCAUGUCCAGGACUGGAAGUGGUGGUGACACCCGUGUCCUGGCCCCCUCCAGCGGCAUGAGGAGAUGAUCAUCCCUGGAGGACCCCCCUGAUCCCCUGGGUGCCCUGGCAAUUUCCCUGCAAGAAUCAAUAAACCCCUGCAGCAAAACAAA